rnacentral:rRNA from 1 species
GACGAACGCUGGCGGCGUGCUUAACACAUGCAAGUCGAGCGGUAAGGCUCCUUCGGGAGUACACGAGCGGCGAUCGGGUGAGUAACACGUGAGCAAUCUGCCCUUCACACGGGGAUAACCCUCGGAAACGAGAGCUAAUACCCGCUACGACCACUUCAGGCAUCUGAUGGUGGUGGAAAGUUCCGGCGGUGAAGGAUGAGCUCGCGGCCUAUCAGCUUGUUGGGGGGGUAACGGCCCACCAAGGCAACGACGGGUAGCCGGCCUGAGAGGGUGACCGGCCACACUGGGACUGAGACACGGCCCAGACUCCUGCGGGAGGCAGCAGUGGGGAAUAUUGGACAAUGGGCGAAAGCCUGAUCCAGCAACGCCGCGUGAGGGAUGACGGCCUUCGGGUUGUAAACCUCUUUCAGCAGGGACGAAGCGCAAGUGACGGUACCUGCAGAAGAAGCACCGGCCAACUACGUGCCAGCCGCCGCCGUAA